rnacentral:rRNA from 1 species
GACGAACCGUGCAAACGUUGUUCGGAAUCACUGGGCUUAAAGGGCGCGUAGGCGGACCGGUUAGUCUGUGGUGAAAGCCCCCAGCUUAACUGGGGAAGUGCCAUGGAUACUGCCGGUCUGGAGGAGGGUAGGGGCAUCUGGAACGCUGGGUGGAGCGGUGAAAUGCGUUGAUAUGUGGAGGAACACCGAUGGCGAAGGCAGCCCCCUGGGUUAACACUGACGCUCAUGCACGAAAGCGUGGGGAGCAAACAGG